rnacentral:rRNA from 1 species
AUGAUGACCGGAUCGAGCUCCCAUGUGUUCAUCAUGCCCGGCGCCGGCCAUGUCCACUACCUCGUCGCGGGAGGCUCCGGAGGAGGCGACGACCCCAGGUACCCCUGGACCUUCAAGUCCCUGCACGAGGUGGACGCCGCCGUCCCUGCCAUCACCCGUGGAGCACCGGUAGAGCCCUACGGGUGCCCCAUCUGCUUCCGCACAUUCGCCAGUGCCAAGGCCGUCCAUGGCCACAUGCGCAGCCACACGGACCGCAGCUGGCGCGGCAUGGAGCCGCCCCGGCCGGAACCUCUCGGCGAGCUUGGGCCGGACGGGCGGCGCUACCCGUACGCGUGUGACCGCUGCAAGAUGCCAUUCCAGACGCGGCAGGCGCUCGGCGGCCACCGUGCCAGCCACAAUGGUAAGAAAGGCUGCUCCUGGCUCGAUAGGGAGGAGCUCGCCGCCGAAGAAGAAGCUCGGAAGCCCGUCGUGUUCGACGUUGAUCUGAACCUUCCGGCUCCAGAGGCAGAGGAACAUGAGGAGGAGGAGUAG